GCACGGUCGAACCCUAGAUGAUGUUGGUUGUUUAGAAUUAAAAAAGACGUCAAAAAGCAUUCUGUUAUUUCUGCAUAAUAUCAACCGCUUAAAGAUUAUUUACGUCAGAAAACAAAAAGCAUUUUCUCAAAAACUGCACUAGCACCUGUCAAGAACACGUCACGAGUAAUUAAGAGCGUGGCGUCCACGUUUAAUUAACUGACGCACGAGUGGCAGCUGGUUUAGAAGAUACAAGAAAUGUGAAUCGCAAACAAAACUGGGAUGGGUGGAAAAUAAUUUUUUUAUAAGAAGAAAGAAGAUUUUGUUGUAUAAUGCCAGAUAUUACACUUUGCCAAUGACAUUUUUUAAAAACUUAAUGCAGCCAUUGAUAAAACUGGGUAUUUUAAAAUGAUAUUUGUACUUAAAUAAAUAAAUGUGAAUGAA